rnacentral:rRNA from 1 species
AUACGGAGGGUGCAAGCGUUACUCGGAAUCACAGGGCGUAAAGCGCGCGCAGGCGGUUGGAUAAGUUGGAUGUGAAAUCCUAUGGCUCAACCAUAGAACUGCAUCCAAAACUGUCAAACUAGAGUCUGGGAGAGGAAGAUGGAAUUAGUUGUGUAGGGGUAAAAUCCGUAGAGAUAACUAGGAAUACCAAAAGCGAAGGCGAUCUUCUGAAACAGUACUGACGCUGAGGCGCGAAAGCGUGGGGAGCAAACAGGAUUAGAAACCCGAGUAGUCC